GUAGCCUCAGAUUGCAACUCAUUACGGAACUACAUUGCGAAGGUCAUAUUGGCCGAGAUCGAAACUUGCAACUCGUCACGUCUUCCUACUUUUGGCCUUCUCUCCGCUGCGACGUCGAAAGAUUCGUUGAGAGAUGUGUUGUGUGCCAGACUUCUAAAGGAUAUUCUUCGAAUGCUGGCCUUUAUAUGCCUUUACCUAUACCGACAACAACCUUGGACAGACAUUAGUAUGGACUUUGUGGUUGGCCUUCCUCGUACGCAACGAGGAUUUGAUUCAAUCUUCGUCGUCAUUGACUCUUUCUCAAAAAUUUGUUCACUUCAUCCCUUGUAAGAAGACAACAGACGCAUUGCAAGUGGCUACAUUGUUCUUUCGCGAGAUAUACCGUUUACAUGGAUUGCCUAUGUCUUCUAUUGUCUCCGACAGAGAUUCGCGUUUUCUUGGACACUUUUGGCGAUCUCUUUGGAAGCUUCUGGGAACUUCUCUCGAUAUGAGUUCUGCCUAUCACCCCCAAUCCGAUGUCCAAACUGAAGUGACAAAUCAAUCUUUUGGGAAUCUCUUGCAUUGCUUGGUUGGUGACAACAUUAAAAAGUGGGAUGCAAAGUUGCCUCAAGCUGAAUUCGCCCACAACCAUCCUUUCAAUCGAAGUUUAGGCUUCUCUCCUUUCCAGGUGAUCUACGGAACAGUUCCUCGAGAUCCAGUCGAUCUUUCUACUCUUCCGGAUCAUACUCGCAUUCAUGGCGAUGCAGCAAAGUUUGUCGACUCAUUUACUCAUCUCCCUGAGCAAGCCAUCUCGAAUUUAGAAGCAUCUUCGGCAAAUUACAAACGUCAUGUUGACAAGCACCGUCGUCGUCUUGUAUUUGAAGUUGGAGAUUUUGUUUGGGCAUAUCUUAAACGGGAUAGAAUGCCGGCUCAUGCUUACAACAAACUCAAAGCCAAGAAGAUAAGUCCGCUCGAAGUCCUGGAAUGUAUAAAUGACACUUCUGAUGUGUUUAAUGUCAAGUACUUGUCUCGUUUUGUUUCCGACCCCACUGGUCCAGAUUCGAGGUGGAAUCCUUCUCACCCGGGGAGACCUGAUGUAGCAUCAUCAUCAUCAUUGGCGCCAACAUGAAGCAUUUGAAUCAUAACUCCUUUAGCUUAUACGUUUUGGGUUUUGGCUUUAUUUCCUUUUUUUAUAACUUCCUCUUUACGUAAGUUUUAUGUUUUCCUUUUUUAUUAGGGUUUUUCUAAUAUAAGAGCUAUAUAAAUGCAGCUAAACCUAUGAUACUAAAGUACGUUUUGAUUUAUAAUUAAGAAGAGCUUUGCUUUUAUCCUUUGUUCGAUUCGAUUCAAUUCAUCAAACAAGAAGUUGGUCUCAAGAAGCUAUUGAAGGAAACUUUUGAUCGAUCCAAGAACAGGUCUCGAAGAACCCUAAAUUCUUAGAUCGACCGUUCACCCAUUCGUACGCUGCGCCAAUACACCCCAUUAAGGACUGACAUCUUAGCAAGUGCGAAGUUACCCUUGCAGAUUUGGUGGAUUCAGUUGACCAGAAAGAGAUAGGGAUGAGAUUGUUUUACAGAAAAGCUGUCGUUGUCUCUGUGAUUAAAUAUUUAGCCAUCAAACAAGUAAUAAAAGGGGAAUAUGCUCAAUAGAGAGGGAUGCCACGUCAGAUUAAAAAAUCAACCAAUAGAGAAGUUUUUUUUUUUUGCCAAGUCAGCUCAACUGAACUAGAAAUGGUAUUUCGAGUGGGCUCUGUAAAAAAUAUAAUCCAGUCCAUUCCCAGCCCAAAACCUAUUUCCUGUCAAGUUUCACGGUUCUCUCCCCCUCGACUCUUUCACUUCGUCUUCUCCAACCUAUGAUUUCUCGCGUUACCUAAAACCACUCCUGAUCAUCAAUGAUAAUCUUUAAACUUACAAUUGGCCUUUAUUAAUAGAUUGGAAGAUUCGUACGGAACUGGAUUCCCAUCCAUAAGGGGGCUUCGAGGUCAGAAGGCCCGUUAUCUUCGAGAUGUUUCCCGGUGGGCAAAUGACAAAGAUGCAGAACUGUUACGUCUUGGCUAUGCAAUUCUAUUCAUCCUUAGUUUCUUUUUUCCCUCAAAAUUUUCAUUUUUACACCUCUGCUGUUUAAAAGAGAUCGAGGAGGUCAAGUUCUGUUUGCUUCAAGCUAAUGAAUGUUUACUUGCUUUGGUGCAGGUCAAGCCUGAAGUAGUUAGUUGGUCGCCUCGAAUUAUUGUGCUUCAUAACUUUCUAAGCUCAGAGGUUAGUGUUUAAUUCAUUGUGUUAAACUUGGUGGGGAUGUGUUCACUAAUUAUAAAAUGAUCUGUUACUUUUAUCAUAUUUCCAGAGUAGCAUAUUACUAAGUAUCCUUAACUUUUUUUUUUAUCAUGAUCGGAAAAGAUUAAGAUUUGAAGGAGAAACCAAACCUUAGACUCAGUUCUAAUAACAUUUAUCAUAAAAGUUAUUAAAAUGGCUAUUAUCCUUAUUUGUCUUGCCUUUAAACAACUUUUCUUUUGUUCUCCUGAUUUGUAUGAUCGGCAGGAAUGUGAAUACUUAAAAGCAAUCGCCCGACCUCGCCUUCAGGUUUCCACUGUUGUUGAUAUAAAAACUGGAAAGGUAUUUGCCAAAUUCUGGACGCUACAACAAAUGCUAUAGUUUAUGACUUGGAGACUUGUUCUCUUAUUAUUGCUUUCCUCUUGCUUAGGGAGUUAAAACUUAAAAGUGAUGUGAGGACAAGCUCUGGAGUAAUGGAGACUGGCACCGAGUAAGCAAAGGGAGGCUCCAAAGCAGGUACCUAAGAACUAAUUUUGUUUUACCUCUCUUCAAAUUUUAGAAUUGUUUCUCUUCAAUGAUUUAACCUUUAAAACAUUUUUUUUUGAUGAUUUUCAGAUUCUUGAUCUUUACAACACAAGAGCUGAUCUAAGGAAGAAAGAUCACUUAGCAAUCGAUAAGUACGCACUGCGUGGACUGAGGUCAUUAGCUGUUGCAAGACAGACUGUACCUGAGAAAACCAAAAAAAAAAAGCUCUGGUGAUCCAUGGGAAUUCGUUGGUGGGUUGCCUUUGUUUGAUCCUCCACGACAUGAUAGUGCAUACAUCAUUAGAAAGAAGAGCUUAAGACCUCUGUGUCAACAUCAGUGAUUACUGGUAAAUAUCUAUGGAUACUAUUAUCUUUGACUUUAACCUUCCUUAUGUUGUAUUGUAUUGGUUUUAUUAUAGGUGAUCAACUUGCUAUUUCCAGUGAGACUCGACUUAAGCUCGGUAUGGGAUCAAACAUGUAUCCAUACCAUCAGCUUCUCUACUUGGAUAAGAAAGCCAUCCGAGAGAGUUUAGGCAACCAAGUGAUGUUUUUCUAAUCUCUUGAUUCCAAGUAAUUUUUAAGUAUUUAUACAAAUUCUUGAAAGCAAACCCCUCAGACAAAGUUAUCCUAAUAUUUUAAAAUUUUUCACUGCAGACUCUGAGCCAUAACAUUCAGCAAGAAUACAUAGAAGUUGUAGAGAGUUGUGUGUUUACAGGUUUUGAAUAGUGAAUAUGUCUAACAACUCAACUGUUCCCAGUAAUGAUAUCUGAUAUAAACUUUUUGAUAUUUUUGGGUGUUUUGUUACUUCUUGACAAUGAUAGUUAGUCUCAACUAGCAGAUGAAGAAGAAAGGACUUAAAACUCUGCUUUUCUCAGUUUAAAUUUAUUAAUUCGGUAUUAGUAUAGGGUCCAUGAUGAUCCUUUCCUGUGUGUAGAGGUGGAUAGAUUGAUUGAAACUGGAGACAGUGAGCAUAUUUUUCAGAAAGCAAUCAUGUAGUAAGGAAGAGGGCAGGCUAUUCAGGUUUCGACAAUACGUGUGGUUCAAGUUAGUUUUUUUUCUGCCUUCGUGCAUGCAAGUAAUAAAUAUUGGAUACACUAGCUGAGGUUCAGGAACGACAUGGCGCUUUCAGAGGCUUAGAGAAGAAACUCCUCUACAUUGUAGUUAUAAGAAAAAUGAUGAAUCUGAAGGAGUCAAACAAAAUGCUGAUUAAAGAAUGCAUUUGAGAUCAGUAAGAGGUUCUUCCCAUUCCACUUUUUCCUCCGGAGCAGAAUAUCUUUUGUUAUUAAAGCUUUUUUUUAAGUGGUCAGUUCAGGUGCUAUGGAUCGGAAGAGGUGUAAAAGCCUCAAAGCCAGACAAAGAUUUUUACCAUUUUGUUUCCACCAAGAUGCGAGUCUAUAUUGGCAGUAGAGAGACCAGGAAGAGAGUCAUACAUUGGCAGUAGAGAGGAAUAAGAAAACGAGUUGGUGGGCGCUAAAAGAGAUUGCCAUGUUGUACAUGAAGUCUAUUUUCAUGAAAUAUGGCAAUAACAGGAGGGGUGUCCUUUGGAUUUGGGAUUUUGGACUAGUACAUAGAAAAUGAGAAAGUAUGGCAUUUUUUCUUUGAAUA